ensembl:snoRNA
GUGAUGUGAUAUACUGAGUAGGGGGCCUGGAGAAUAGCUCUUCUGUUUAUAACACACCCAACAGGCAUUUUGGGUCACUGUGAUGAGGGGCACAAAAUGUGUGGCCUCCCUGUGAACAAAUGUCCUAAAUGU